rnacentral:pre_miRNA from 1 species
AAUGAAAAAGACUCAAAUUUCUCCCUCAAGUCCUCUAGUGACACUCAACCCGUUUCUAGAGGACUUGAGGGAGAAAUUUGAGUCUUUUUCAUU